rnacentral:rRNA from 1 species
GAUGAACGCUGGCGGCGUGCUUAACACAUGCAAGUCGAACGGAAAGGCCCUGCUUUUGUGGGGUGCUCGAGUGGCGAACGGGUGAGUAACACGUGAGUAACCUGCCCUUGACUUUGGGAUAACUUCAGGAAACUGGGGCUAAUACCGGAUAGGAGCUCCUGCUGCAUGGUGGGGGUUGGAAAGUUUCUGCGGUUGGGGAUGGACUCGCGGCUUAUCAGCUUGUUGGUGGGGUAGUGGCUUACCAAGGCUUUGACGGGUAGCCGGCCUGAGAGGGUGACCGGCCACAUUGGGACUGAGAUACGGCCCAGACUCCUACGGGAGGCAGCAGUGGGGAAUAUUGCACAAUGGGCGGAAGCCUGAUGCAGCAACGCCGCGUGCGGGAUGACGGCCUUCGGGUUGUAAACCGCUUUCGCCUGUGACGAAGCGUGAGUGACGGUAAUGGGUAAAGAAGCACCGGCUAACUACGUG